AACGCACAUUGCGCCUCCUGGUAUUCCGGGAGGCAUGCCUGUUCGAGCGUCACCAAAAUCAACUCAAGCACUUUUGCAUGGUCAUGGAGGAAGAGUCCGUCUUGUUGCGGUCUCCCCGCCGAAAAUCAACGGCGGAAAGUCACUGGCACCCGGCGUAGUAGAAUCUGUUCGCUGUUCAGCCAGUGUCGUUCCUGCCGGCAAACCCCCCACAAUUCUCUUGAUUGACCUCGGAUCAGGUAGGGAUACCCGCUGAACUUAA
rnacentral:misc_RNA from 3 species